rnacentral:tRNA from 1 species
GCGGGUAUAGUUCAUCGGUAGAACGCGACCUUCCCAAGGUCGAUAGGAGGGUUCGACUCCCUUUACCCGCUCCA